rnacentral:lncRNA from 1 species
CGCCACCGAUUCCGGUGCCGGUCUUCUUUUUCUUUUUUUUUUUUUGCUUUUCCCCUCUCCCCCUCUUCCUCCCCAGCCAUCCUCCCCUCUGUCUUUUUUUUUUUUCUCCCUGCGUCUCCCCCACCAACCUUCCCCUUCCCCUCUGGCGGAUCUGGUCGCGAGAGAAUCAUUUCAUUGGUUUUUGCCCCAGAAAAUCACACUUGCAGGCCGCUGUGUUUGUUUCUCUGCCACCUACCAACUUAAAAAAUCUGACCAAGAAGAUACGGCAGAGGUCCUCUUAAGUAGUUUGCACUUAAAACUUUGCAGAAAAAUUGGUCGUCCUUGCACUUGGGAAAUCUUCAUCGAAUCCUCCUUCUGCUCGUCUCAAUCAACCACAGUGGCUGUGGUGCACCACCACCACGCAGCUCUUUCCCCAUCUUGAAUGUUCAGGCGACACACUAAAACCUCGCAACAGGGUAAUUCGCAUUUAGCAUCAAUCAUGCAAGUAUAUAAGAACCUUGCAAGGAGUUAGGGGGAGAAGGAAAAUUGCCAAAAAAAAAAAUCAUUUCGCUGCUUUAUCUGCCGGCAAAAGCAAGGAGAGGAGAGGGGAGGAGAGGGAGAGGGAAAAUGUGAAAAAAA